rnacentral:rRNA from 1 species
UACGAAGGGGGCUAGCGUUGUUCGGAAUUACUGGGCGUAAAGCGCGUGUAGGCGGGUCUUAAGUCAGGGGUGAAAUGCCAGGGCUCAACCUUGGAACUGCCUUUGAUACUGGAGACCUUGAGUCCGGGAGAGGUGAGUGGAAUUGCGAGUGUAGAGGUGAAAUUCGUAGAUAUUCGCAAGAACACCAGUGGCGAAGGCGGCUCACUGGCCCGGAACUGACGCUGAGACGCGAAAGCGUGGGGAGCAAACAGGG